CUACGGGAGGCUCCAGUGAGGAAUAUUGCACAAUGGAGGAAACUCUGAUGCAGCAACGCCGCGCGGAGGAUGACGCAUUUCGGUGUGUAAACUCCUUUUAUGAGUCAAGAAAAUGACGGUAGCUCAUGAAUAAGCACCGGCUAACUCCGUGCCAGCAGCCGCGGUAAUACGGAGGGUGCAAGCGUUACUCGGAAUCACUGGGCGUAAAGGACGCGUAGGCGGGAUAUCAAGUCAGGUGUGAAAUCCUACAGCUUAACUGUAGAACUGCACUUGAAACUGGUAACCUAGAGUAUGGGAGGGGGAGAUGGAAUUAGUGGUGUAGGGGUAAAAUCCGUAGAUAUCACUAGGAAUACCUAAAGCGAAGGCGAUCUCCUGGAACAUAACUGACGCUAAGGCGUGAAAGCGUGGGGAGCAAACAGGAUUAGAUACCCCAGUAGUC
rnacentral:rRNA from 1 species